UGGUGGAGUGAUUUGUCUGGUUAAUUCCGUUAACGAACGAGACCUCGACCUGCUAAAUAGUACAGCGUAAGCUUUGCUUAUGUAUGCACUUCUUAGAGGGACUAUCGGUGUUCUAGCCGAAGGAAGUUCGAGGCAAUAACA
rnacentral:rRNA from 1 species